GUGCAGCAGGCGCGAAACCUCCGCAAUGCGGUAACCCGUGACGGGGUCACCCCGAGUGCUCUCCGUUUGGAGAGCUUUUCCCUACUGUAAGAAGGUAGGGGUAAUAAGUGGGGGGCAAGUCUGGUGUCAGCCGCCGCGGUAAUACCAGCCCCACGAGUGGUCGGGACGGUUAUUGGGCCUAAAGCGCCCGUAGCCGGCCCAGCAAGUUCCUGCCUAAAUCCUCGGGCUCAACCCGGGGAAAGGUGGGAAUACUACUGGGCUAGGAGGCGGGAGAGGCCGGGGGUACUGCCAGGGUAGGGGCGAAAUCCUAUAAUCCUGGCAGGACCACCAGUGGCGAAGGCGCCCGGCUGGAACGCGCUCGACGGUGAGGGGCGAAAGCUGGGGGAGCAAACCGGAUUAGAUACCCGGGUAGUCCCAGCUGUAAACGAUGCGGACUAGGUGUUGGACGGACUUUGAGUCCGUCCAGUGCCGCAGGGAAGCCGUUAAGUCCGCCGCCUGGGGAGUACGGCCGCAAGGCUGAAACUUAAAGGAAUUGGCGGGGGAGCAC
rnacentral:rRNA from 1 species